rnacentral:lncRNA from 1 species
AAUUGGAGUGCCAGUGGUGGCGAGCAGAGAAAAGGGCCCAUGCCAGGCCCAAAGCCCUUCUUAACCCUAACAGAAAUUAGGGGUUCCAGUAGCUCCACCCCAUUUCUUCUCAUUUGCAAAGCAGCACCCAAGAUGCUCUCCUCUGAACGAAAAACACCAUGGCACACACCACUGCUCACGGCCACGAUUCAGCUUCCGGCCACAGCAAACCGAGGUCCAACGGCGUCGCCGACAACGAUCCUCGUCGCCUGAGCCACUAAGUCGAAGUCGUCGUCCUCCGUCGAGCUGGUCACCACUAGAUGCAGCCAGAAACUCUGUCAACGCCGACGGCCACCGC